AGAGGGGAAUCACCCACCUGGUGUCCCAGGUCUAAAUCGGUCCCUGAUUAGUGGAGAAUCACCCACCUGGUGUCCCAGGUCUAAAUCAGUCCCUGAUUAGAGGGGAAUCACCCACCUGGUGUCCCAGGUCUAGUCCCUGAUUAGAGGGGAAUCACCCACCUGGUGUCCCAGGUCUAGUCCCUGAUUAGAGGGGAAUCACCCACCUGGUGUCCCAGGUCUAGUCCCUGAUUAGAGGGGAAUCACCCACCUGGUGUCCCAGGUCUAAAUCAGUCCCUGAUUAGAGGAGAAUCACCCACCUGGUGUCCCAGGUCUAAAUUAGGCCCUGAUUAGAGGGGAAUCACCCACCUGGUGUCCCAGGUCUAAAUCAGUCCCUGAUUAGUGGAGAAUCUCUCACCUGGUGUCCCAGGUCUAGACCCUGAUGAGAGGAGAACAGUGGCGCUGGCUUGGAGCUCCAGGGUCCUAGAGGUCAUAGCUGUUCUACAUGUUAUUCUAUGGGUUUAAUCAGCCAGGAUCAGCUGUUUUCAUCUCCAGUGUGUUUUGCUGUACAGCAGGUUUCUCAAACUCGGUCCCGGGGCCCCUCUUGGGUACACUGGUUGUUGUCCUAGCACGACACAGCUGACUCAAAUAAUCAAAGCUUGACGAUGAGUUGGUUAUUUGAAUCGGCUAUGUACUGCUUGGACAACAACUAAAACAUGUGUAUACACACACAUAUGUCUGCCCUUGUUUGUGGGCUAAAGGAGAUCUGUUGGAUCAUGUAGCUCCAACCAGCUUAUAAAAACCAUUGAAUCAUGUUGAUGAGACAGGUCCUUCUGAAGAGAUAGGAACCUCUCUGCUCCUACAUGUUGAUGAGACAGGUCCUUCUGAGGAAACACGGACCUCUCUGCUCCUACAUGUUGAUGAGACAGGUCCUUCUGAAGAGAUAGGAACCUCUCUGCGCCUACACUCCUGCACAGAAAAAUAUCUUUCAUCACAGACCACCUCGUUAGAUCAUUGAGCUGAGCCAGAGACUGGGCUAUCUCUCUGCUAAAUCACAAUGUUUAUUAAAUCAUUGUGUCCAGAGUUGUUUAUCUCUCGUUAUCGCUCCCUGUUGGUAUGUGGUGGGGGGAGGAGAGGGAGAGUGCGGCUCUUUAACACUAAUGUGGGUAUAUCUCUGUCAUUUACAGUAGCCUGGGGAGGGAUGUUACAUGUAGGAAGCAGCCUGGGGAGGGAGGGAUGGAUGUUACACUGAAAGGCGUGAGGAAAGAAGUAGCACAUGCCACACCUCCCUGUCACUCAGUGGUCGCUAUGGAGCCUGCCGUGGUUGCCAUGGUGUUGUCGGGGAGGGGCAGUAGGAGAGGUUAAAGGAGACAGAAGAGUGACAUCAUACUCUCUUUCAGCUCCAGGGCUUUAUGGUUGACGUGAAGCGUUCAGAACGUUGCAGAUAGAAAUAGAUUAACUACAGCUGGAACGACUCCCUGUUCUACAUAACAGACCUGCCCAUGUUUGUUCUACACAAUACAUUUCUACAUCCUGAUAUGGUGGAGGCUGAUUAAAAGACGUUCUCGAGGGGCUUUAUUGGCAUGGGAAACAUGCCUACAAGUGAGAAAUAUUAAACAAAAGUGAGAAGGCAAAACAUCAACAACAAAUCGAUUAGAAUUUAACAGUAAACAUUGCACUCAAAAAGGUUUUUACAAAAAAAAAUCAACAUUUCAAAUAGUCUGUUUUGAUUUUUCUUUUCAAAUUCUUUGUGUUUCUGUGUGAAAUAUGUAUCUGUAAUGUGAUUAUACAUUUAGCAUGAGGUCAGGAAGUGCAGCUCAGUCUCACUCUCAGGGCUCUGGCAGACAAAGAUCACGGACACUGCUGAUACUCUUAGACACACACAUUGUGUUAAUGGUGCUGUCACUACACACACACACACACACACAGACGACAUGUAUGCAUCAGGUGCAUGUUGUAUGGACCAGGUCGCAGAGGUUAUAGUUCAGGGUUCAACCUCCUUUCUGUUUCUCCAUCACUCAACGACACUGUCAGAGUUUGUUUUUAUUUUGACUUAUCCUGUAUUCCUUCCUUUUUCUUUUCUUUUUUUAUAGAAAUGUUUUUUUUAUAGCUUUUUGUUACUCAAGACGAGAGGUUUUUAAAAGCAUAAAUGAAGGUGACGAUGUGUUUAUUAGCGUUAGCGGUGGUGAUGUGUGUUGUAGGCUGUUUCAGCAUGAUGGAAUCACAUGAAACUGUUUCAACACUGAGAUGAAGACCUACUGUUAACCGGUGAGCUGUAAUAAAAUAUUAACUGAAAGGUCAUGUUCCUCAUAUUUCUGUCCUGUUGUGUCGGUGUACACUGCUACACACCACAUUCCCUCUCCCCAGCAGU
ensembl:lncRNA